AUUGAACGCUGGCGGCAGGCCUAACACAUGCAAGUCGAACGAGUGGCGGACGGGUGAGUAAUGUCUGGGACACUGCCUGAUGUAGGGGGAUAACUACUGGAAACGGUAGCUAAUCCCGCAUACCAUCGGAUGUGCCCAGUGGGGAUUAGCUAGUAGGUGGGGUAAAGGCUCACCUAGGCGCCGAUCCCUAGCUGGUCUGAGAGGAUGACCAGCCACACUGCAACUGAGACACGGUCCAGAGUCCUACGGUAGGCAGCAGUGGGGAAUAUUGCACAAUGGGAGAAAGCCUGAUGGAGCCAUGCCGCGUGUAUGAAGAAGGCCUUCGGGUUGUAAAGUACUUUCAGCGUGGAGGCGUUACCCGCAGAAGAAGCACCGGCUAACUCCGUGCCAGCAGCCGCGGUAAUAC
rnacentral:rRNA from 1 species